rnacentral:rRNA from 1 species
UUAAAAAGCUCGUAGUUGGAUUUCGGACUGGUGCGAUUUGGUCUGCCGAAAGGUAUGUCACUGAAUCGUGCUGUCUUCUUCUCAGAGUCCUGCUGUGUACUUAACUGUGCGCAGUAUCUUGGAAUUUGAGACGUUUACUUUGAAAAAAUUAGAGUGUUCAAAGCAGGCAUUUUCUUGCCCGAAUACAUGAGCAUGGAAUAAUGGAAUAGGACUACGGUCUUAUUUUGUUGGUUUCUGAGACCAUAGUAAUGAUUAAGAGGGACAAUUGGGGGCAUCCGUAUUUCGUUGUCAGAGGUGAAAUUCUUGGAUUUACGAAAGACGAACAACUGCGAAAGCAUUUGCCAAGAGUGUUUUCAUUAAUCAAGAACGAAAGUUAGAGGAUCGAAGGCGAUCAGAUACCGUCCUAGUUCUAACCAUAAACGAUGUCGACUAGGGAUCGGCGGGCGUUACAAAUUUAAUGACUCCGUCGGCACCUUACGGGAAACCAAAAGUUUUUGGAUUCCGGGGGGAAGUAUGGUUGCAAAACUGAAACUUAAAGGAAUUGACCGGAAAGGCACCACCCAGGAGUGGAGCC